rnacentral:rRNA from 1 species
UACGUAGGGUGCAAGCGUUAAUCGGAAUUACUGGGCGUAAAGCGUGCGUAGGUGGUUCGUUAAGUCCGUUGUGAAAGCCCCGAGCUCAACUUGGGAAUUGCAGUGGAUACUGGCGGGCUGGAGUGCGGUAGAGGAAGGUGGAAUUCCCGGUGUAGCGGUGAAAUGCGUAGAGAUCGGGAGGAACACCAGUGGCGAAGGCGGCCUUCUGGACCAGCACUGACACUCAAGCACGAAAGCGUGGGGAGCAAACAGG